rnacentral:lncRNA from 1 species
GGAAAUAAAGAGACUGAAACAACUUCAUCAAGCACCUGGAAUUGGUUAGUAAUAGGCUGUGUAAUUUUUUCCUGCAUAGCGCUGCCAGCACAGUCCAAACCUGCUUACUUGCAAUGUUCAUUUUCACUUAAGGGCAGUCCAGAGUGGCACACCAAAGUAUUUCUGAUGCCAGAACUUCACCAUCAGAGACAGCAGUCCUCUUCCCUGGCCUGGACAAGAUCCCCAAGGUACAUAUCAGAAAUGAAGGCUGUCCUCAAGCUGCCACAAAACUGGAAGUGGAGAAUGAUACAAGAGUAAGUCAAAUCACCACAAACCUCUCUUAUCAACAGUCAGCUAUUUUCCUUGAUUUAGAGUUUUUCUCAUUAUUGUAAGCUUUUGAUUAGACUCCAGAUUUCUAAAAAAAGGUGAUUCUGACAGUUUUUACGUCUGUUCAUUGCUUUUGUGGAAAGAUGGACUUUCAGAAUUUUCUCCUUUACCAUUUCUACUAAUGUCAUCCUGUUUUUCAGUACUUUCGAGAAUUUUUUUUUUUUUUUUUUUUUUUACAAUUUGAAGUCAAAUUUAUCAAUUUUUCCUUUUAUGUUUCUUUUAAGUUUUGGCUUUUAUGCACAUUUAGAAA